rnacentral:tRNA from 1 species
GGGGAUGUGGCUCAGUGGUAGAGCGCUUGCCUAGCAUGCAUGAGGCACUGAAUUCAAUCCUCAGCACCACA